AAUUCCAGCGAGAGGCAGAGGGAGCGAGCGGGCGGGCCCUCCAGGGUGGAAGAGCAGAGCCGGCCGAGCAAGCUGAGUCGCGCUCUGGGCGCCCGGGGGAAGGGAGAUCCGGAGUGAAAGAGGGUCUUCGCCUCCGUCCCGGCCGCCCCCACCCCACCCUGCCCGCCGACCCCUGCCAGCGGUCCGCCACCCGCGCCGCAUCCACGAAACUUUGCCCACUGCAGCGGGCGGGUACUUUCCACUGGAACUUACAACACCCGAGCGACAACGCGACUCUCCGGACGCGGAGAGGCUAUUCUGCCUAUUUGGGGAGACACUUUUCCCUGU
rnacentral:other from 1 species